UACGGGGGGGGUAAGCGUUGUUCGGAAUUACUGGGCGUAAAGGGCUCGUAGGCGGCCAACUAAGUCAGACGUGAAAUCCCUCAGCUUAACUGGGGAACUGCGUCUGAUACUGGAUGGCUUGGAUCCGGAAGAGGGAUGCGGAAUUCCAGGUGUAGCGGUGAAAUGCGUAGAGAUCGGGAGGAACAUCAGUGGCGAAGGCGGCCAUCUGGGACAACACUGACGCUGAAGCACGAAAGCGUGGGGAGCAAACAGG
rnacentral:rRNA from 1 species